GUUUAGAACGUCGUGAGACAGUUCGGUCCCUAUCUGCCGUGGGCGCUGGAGAAUUGAGGGGGGCUGCUCCUAGUACGAGAGGACCGGAGUGGACGCAUCACUGGUGUUCGGGUUGUCAUGCCAAUGGCACUGCCCGGUAGCUAAAUGCGGAAGAGAUAAGUGCUGAAAGCAUCUAAGCACGAAACUUGCCCCGAGAUGAGUUCUCCCUGAGACUUUAAGUCUCCUGAAGGAACGUUAAAGACGAUGACGUUGAUAGGCCGGGUGUGUAAGCGCAGCGAUGCGUUGAGCUAACCGGUACUAAUGAACCGUGAGGCUUAACCUUACAACGCCGAAG
rnacentral:rRNA from 1 species